rfam:Klebsormidium nitens DNA, contig: KFL_110.
ACGACUGUACUUGAACAGGAUCUGUUCUAUAGUUCGUACACCCUGUCUGUGUUCUCCAACACUGACAAACUCCUCAACCGGGAUGGUGAGAUAAGCCUUCCAUGCCUGAGCGCGAAUACCUGCGUGGCUUCCCCCGACCAGUCGGGAGAGGCCACUGCCUGAUGAACGUCCCGCCGGCUCAUUCCGCCGGCGGUUGAUGGCUUGGAAGCGUUCUGACCGGUU